rnacentral:rRNA from 1 species
UACGGAGGGGGCUAGCGUUGUCCGAAGUUACUGGGCGUAAAGCGCGCGUAGGCGGGUUGGUAAGUCCGCUGUGAAAGCCCGGAGCUCAACUCCGGAGGGUCGGUGGAUACUGCCAGUCUUGAAGGUGCUAGGGGGAGAUGGAAUUACCGGUGUAGCGGUGAAAUGCGUAGAUAUCGAGAGGAACACCAGUGGCGAAGGCGAGUCUCUGGACGACACCUGACACUGAGGCACGAAAGCUAGGGGAGCAAACAGG